rnacentral:rRNA from 1 species
AUUGAACGCUGGCGGCAUGCUUUACACAUGCAAGUCGAACGGUAACAGGCCGCAAGGUGCUGACGAGUGGCGAACGGGGGAGUAAUGCAUCGGAACGUGCCCAGUCGUGGGGGAUAACUACUCGAAAGAGUAGCUAAUACCGCAUACGAUCUAUGGAUGAAAGCGGGGGACCGUAAGGCCUCGCGCGAUUGGAGCGGCCGAUGUCAGAUUAGGUAGUUGGUGGGGGAAAGGCUCACCAAGCCAACGAUCUGUAGCUGGUCUGAGAGGACAACCAGCCACACUGGGACUGAGACACGGCCCAGACUCCUACGGGAGGCAGCAGUGGGGAAUUUUGGACAAUGGGCGCAAGCCUGAUCCAGCAAUGCCGCGUGCAGGAAGAAGGCCUUCGGGUUGUAAACUGCUUUUGUACGGAACGAAACGGCUCUGGUUAAUACCCGGGGCUAAUGACGGUACCGUAAGAAUAAGCACCGGCUAACUACGUG